GGUGGCUCAGGGGUAGAGCGCUCGCCUUGCAUGCGUGCAGCCCUGGGUUCGAUUCCUCAGCACCA
rnacentral:tRNA from 1 species